rnacentral:lncRNA from 1 species
CCCGUCUCCCCGACCCCAUCCCAUCCUUCCUUCCUUGGAGUCACAGCCGCCGGCAGCUCCGUCCGCCGUCGCCUUGACCGAGCACGCCCAACCCCCCCUUCCCCACCCAAAGACCAAGUCAAUGCCGUUUAGAUAUUCUAGCGCCGCCGCCAACCAGCGUAGGAGACUGCCAUCUGCAAGCGCCAGCAUCUCCAUAACUACGGAAGCACCUCCGGCUGGAGGGGGUGUGCGUUGUUAGGUAUGCACCGAUGGUGGGAUCCCCGAUUUGUUUUCUUUGUUCUUGUUCUUCCCUGUGUCUCUAGUAGAUCGAACUGCUAGGUUGCUGCAACUUGAGAGUUGUACUGUUGGUAGUUACUGUGGAGUGGUUUGGACAUGUUGUUGAUCUGAAGCAUAACCUGAUCCCUGCUCACGUAAUCAGCCCCUUUUUGUUUAAGAAGAGUAUAGUAUUACGAAGGUUACUAGUUGGAUCCAUAUAGUACUGAGAAGCAAAGGAUUCAUACCUUGUUAAUGUUUCUAAUUCUUUGGCCUGAUCGAUGGCUAGAGGGACAUGGUACUUUAGUUCCUGAAUUCUAAGCUUGCAAAUUUCUGAAUUCUAGGUCUGCAUCGGCAUGAUGAGUUAAUCAGAUAUAUGCGUAACCUGCUAUACUGAUGCUAUUGCUAUAAUAAAUAAUAAUUCUGGAGUAACACUUCUUUUUGUAGCUAGCAUGUAGGCUAUAAGCUCUCGUUGAUGCUAUAGAUGGUUGGGUCGGUUUCAAUUUUUUUGGGAGAAAAUUAGAUUCCAACCUAGUUUAUAGCAGGUUUGAUAAAUGUAUAACUCACUAUAAAAAAGUAAGUUGCACAGUCAAAGGACUGAAGUGAAAUAUUCUCAUUGGACAAAUUUGCAACUGUAAAUUAUCAAAUUGCAAAUGCAGAAUGAGAUAAUCGUAAGCUUAGCACUGCAUACUCAGCGUUUUAUAAAUAUUGUUGGAUUAUCAAGUAUGCAGUAGGGGAUGAAUUUUUUAACGGGCUGCCUAUAAUGCCAACAUUGUCUAGGUAAAUAACAUGUUCCUUUCUGUUCUUUUUUUCCAGAUGAGAUAGAAGAUAGAUAUAUUUAUGUGUCAGAUACUACUGUCUAACUACUUGUGGUAAUAAGUAUUGGUGUUAAGUAGAAUCUCCAUUUGUGUUACCAUCAUAGGACCAUUAAACAGUCAGAUGCGAGCCAUAUAUUUGAUAUUAAGCAAGUUGUCUGAGGAUGUUCACUACCCAGCUAAUUUGAGCUCCCCGUUUCCAUAUGCAGGUAAAUCCAGAAUUUUCACCACUUUUUAGUUCUAAUUUUACCACUCUCCUUCUUGCUUGCUUAAAUGGGGUGCCUUCUCAUAAUACCUUUCUUGCUUUGAAGAAUAUAGCAUUUAGCAUGUUUUUUCUAAAAACAAGUCACAAGUCACAACACCAUUUAGAAUGUCACAACUGAGAAUGCUGGGAUAUAUUGACAUGUGCAGCUAGACAUUCCCUUGGCAUUCGUGAUAUUUAUAGCUGGAUUCACCCUGCAGAUAUGGCAUAAUUAUUUCUCUUAGUCACUUCUUUCACUUCAAAAUAUCCAGGCCUUGGUUUCCCUAGGUACCCUGUCGCUGUUUCUUGUUGGGUAUAUGAUAAUUCCACAAGUGCCAUAUAAUAAUGUUGUGAACUAUGGACCUAAUCGGUACGCUGCUGGUGGUGGUGGCAGGUACCAAAACAACAAGGUUCGUGUCUGCUGUCCUGCUUGUUGGAGGGGGACUGGUGUAGCAUCAAUCACUAAUAGGCCAGGCUAUUAAUUCUAACAUGUCUGUUUAAAAUGGAAAAGAUGGAUAGUUCGUGGUUUGAGCAGAUUUAUAACUAACUGUAGCCUAUCAACCCCAUUCUGACUAUAAGCAGCGGGAAGAUAAGAACUUGAAUUAAUAAUAAUGACGAUUUAGUUCAAGAAUAAGGCAGUACUUAAAUCUUAAUAAUCUCCGUACAUGGUGCUUUUAUGAGAUAUUCGUGUUUAUUUUGGUGAUGGCCUAAUAUUACCUGAACAUCAUUUGUGCAUUUGAAAAGUUCAUCCAUUAAACUUACCAAGGAUACAACUUGCAGUCCCUUGGCCUGCUUUCUAAUUUGAUUGAUGGUCAGCCGAGUUAUCUAUAUUAUUAAACAUAGUUUUCAUUUUUACAGGGUGGUUGAUGCAUGUCUUCACAUUUUUCAGAGCAACAUGCAGUGGAAGAAGCAGCCUAUGAACUGGAAUAGUUUGCAUAAGAAAUAAGCGAUGUGAGUAUGUUUUGUGUCUUGUAUAUAAGAAAUAGGCAUAAGAAAUAGCAUCACUAGAUUACUUUUUGUGUCUUGUAUAUAGAACUGAACUCCACAUACUGCAGUUUUAAAAUUAAAAAUAUGAAAUCACAUGAUGUAAUCUGAUGCUCAUAUACAUUGCUUAGUAGUUAGCAUAUAUGUAAGACAUGCUUGCAGUCCCUUGGCCUACUUUCUAAUUAGUUUGGUGUUAACACUUUGAUGGUCACAAUCUAAAGAUGACAUGGCAUAUACAGAACUUCACAUACUGCAGUUUUUUUGGUUUGAAGCUCUACAUUUUAAUUCUAGUUCAUCAGAUAACAUACGACCACAAUUGUUUUUCACAUUUAUUUUCAAAUUUUGAAGUGCACAAAAUCAUUGGGGUGAAUAUAUGAGAAUUUGACCAUUUAUUUUCACCCACACAUUUAUGUUGGCAGUCGCAUUCAGUUUGAACAUAUGAGAAUUUGACCGGUGACAAUUUCCUCCAUAUUAUUAAUAACUUUUAUGAAUCCACUUUGGAAUAAAACAUUUGAUACAUGUCUGUCUUAAUUAGGUGUCAAUACAAAAUGAUAUUUGCACUUAUGUUAGAUAUUAACUGAGCAUAUUUUCAUUAGACUCUUAUCAUUAAGAUCGUGUGGAAUAUUUUCAGGUACUCAGCCACCUACUGCGCAUGGAUGUGAUGACUUCGGAGUGUUAUGCAGCAUUUGGCUGUUUCGAGUAUUUUGGACCAGCCAACUUGUGAUCGUGAAUCUUAUGUGUGUUCUGGACCAUUUGCUACUUCAAGUGUUUUGGAGCAUAUAUCUUGUGCUCAUGGGUGUGACUUAAGUGUUUUGGACCAUUUAGUGGCUGAACACUUUUAGAACAGUAAAUAGUGGUCCUUUUAUGUGGCUUGUGUUUUCUGGAUGGUGGUUAAAAUGGCCAAACUUUGCUUUGUCAAGAUUGUCUUGUUUUUGAACUUCUGAUCAAUGUAUAUGUAUGUUUGUGAACAUAUUAUCAAUGCUUGUGCAAUAUGUGUUCAUCUUGAUCCUCUUUGUGUAUAACAUUUGAGCAUUGUAUAAUAUUUAAAUCAGAGCAGUAUCCAAUUGUUGUUUUGG